UUGAUCCUGGCUCAGGACGAACGCUGGCGGCGUGCCUAAUACAUGCAAGUCGAGCGAAUCAAUAGGAGCUUGCUCCUGUUGGUUAGCGGCGGACGGGUGAGUAACACGUGGGCAACCUGCCUGUAAGACUGGGAUAACACCGGGAAACCGGUGCUAAUACCGGAUAAUCCUUUUCCUCUCAUGAGGAAAAGCUGAAAGUCGGUUUCGGCUGACACUUACAGAUGGGCCCGCGGCGCAUUAGCUAGUUGGUGAGGUAACGGCUCACCAAGGCGACGAUGCGUAGCCGACCUGAGAGGGUGAUCGGCCACACUGGGACUGAGACACGGCCCAGACUCCUACGGGAGGCAGCAGUAGGGAAUCUUCCACAAUGGACGAAAGUCUGAUGGAGCAACGCCGCGUGAGCGAUGAAGGCCUUCGGGUCGUAAAGCUCU
rnacentral:rRNA from 1 species